GACGAACGCUGGCGGCGUGCUUAACACAUGCAAGUCGAACGCUGAAGCGUGGUGCUUGCUCUGCGUGGAUGAGUGGCGAACGGGUGAGUAAUGCGUGAGUAACCUGCCUUGUAGUCUGGGAUAACCCUGGGAAACUAUAGCUAAUACUGCAUACGACUUGACACCGCAUGGCGUUUUGUGGAAAGGGGUUUUCUGGCUUUGGAUGGGCUCACGUCCAAUCUGCUAGUUGGUGGGGUAAUGGCUCACCAAGGCGACGACGGAUAGCCGGCCUGAGAGGGUGACCGGCCCCACUGGGACUGAGACACGGCCCAGACUGCAACGGGAGGCAGCGGUGGGGAAUAUUGCACAAUGGGCGGAAGCCGGAUGCAGCGACGCCGCGUGGGAGAUGACGGCCUUCAGGUUGUAAACCUCUUUCAGCAGGGAAGAAGCGAAAGUGACGGUACGUGCAGAAGAAGAGCCGGCUAACUACGUG
rnacentral:rRNA from 1 species